GAAAUCUCAUAAAACUGCGGCAACGAGGUGAAGCGGAUUAAGCAAUUCAUGAACAGCAAAGAUGACAGAGAGAAGGAGAGGGAGGAGAAAAACUCCUGAUCAGGAUGCUAUUGACCACAUUACCAUUGGAGAAGACAAAUCUUUCCUGGAAGGAAGAUUUAUUAACACACAUAAAGGUACGUUUUUCAUCCAGUAUAUUUAUGUUUGUUUCUAGUGUAGUCACCUUACAGUAGCUGUAGUUCACUAUGGGGUUUAGAUGCACGCAAAUAAACUCAUCAUUAUCUGAUUUCUGGAGUUAACUGAAUACUAAUUUCUUACUCAUAACAUAAUUAAUUUCUUCAGUGAAUGUCUAUCGAUUCAUCUGGUUUGUUUUUUCCAUCUGUGCUUGAGAAAAAUGUAUAAACGGAUGUAGUUAAAACGCCAGAAGAAAAUGAGCAGUAGCCCUCCAGGAGUAGGGUUGGGCACCACUGGUGUAUACCAACUUGCCACCUACAUGCCAUAUUUUUUACAAGCAUUGUCUUCCUCUAACUCUUUUCAUUGUAUGACUUAUAUUAUAUGAACUGACUGUAAUUGUCAUAACUUUUAAUUAUAUGUAUCUUUAUAUUUAAGUUCUGGAUUGCAUUUGUUUGCAUUUUGUUUAAUUAUUUUUGUAUUGCACAGCACUUAAUUGUUGUCGGUCUUCCUCUCAUUAUCUACUCACCCUCAUGUCGAUGAGAAGUGUAGUUUUUUAAUCUUCUAGUAAAAAAUGUAAUUUACGGCAUGUGAUUAAUCUAAAUCCUCACCAUUACAGGAGAGCUAAAGCCUAGCAAACAUUGCAUGUUCCCCACACACCAGUUCAGACGGUGCAUGUUUGCAAGACUUUAUCUCUCCUUCAACAGUGAGUAUUAAGAUUAAUAACAUGGCAUUAAUUACAUUUUUUCAAGUCAUUGCAUGUGGCAGCUUCAGGAGACUUGGAUGAAGGUCCACAAGCAGUUUGGAAGCAUUUAAAGGUUAUUAGGGGUUGUUUUAUUACGUUUUACAACUGGUCACUGUUUGGAAAAAUACUGCAAACUUUUUUCUUCCCUUCAGUCAGUGUUUUACGGAUUAAAAAACUAUACCAGACUUCUCAUCAGCAUGAAUGAAAUUUCAUUUAAAGUGAACUAUUCCUUGAAUAUCUCUUUGAAAAUACAGCCAUAAAUGAAGUUGGUUAUCUAACAGGAGCUGAUGUUGCUGUUUUCUUUAUUUUCUUCAGGGAGAGGUGUGCUUACACAAGACUACAUUGAACCAAAAAGUUUUGUGGUGGAGUAUCGUGGAGUUUUGUCUCUGAGCGACAGUGCAGAUGACAAAAACAGCAAAUAUGCAUUUGAGUUCAUGUGGAAUGGGAAGCACUAUUGCAUAGAUGCUUCAAAAGAGGACGGAACACUGGGACGACUAGUGAAUGAUGAUCACAUACAUCCCAACUGCAAAGUCAAGAGGAUAAUGGUCAAAGGAAGGCCACACUUGUGUCAAUUUUCCAUCAAGGAAAUCUUUCCAGGCGAGGAGAUAACAUUUAACUAUGGUGAUUCCUCUUGGCCAUGGCUCUCAGUGGUGAGUUAAGGUCCACGGGGUCUCUUAUAAAAUUAACAAAUCAUAGUAUGUUAUUUUUAUUACUGUUAACCAAUAAAUGGCAUUAGUGGACCUGUUAUUGUCCUGAAUAUCAGCCCAGCUGCGAUUUGGUUGUAGAGAUGAGGCCACUGGCAAAGAGCAAGAGCACGAGUGUGAUAUUGCUUA